GUUCCUGUAGUUAAAGUUGUUAACGAUAGCUUUUCAGGCUUUAGAUCUCGGAGAAAGGCCGAGUGGGAACU
rnacentral:tRNA from 1 species